rnacentral:rRNA from 1 species
UCCGUAGGCGGUGUGGCAAGUCGGAAGUGAAAUCCCUGGGCUUAACUCAGAGGCUGCUUCCGAAACUGCCGUGCUAGAGUGCGAGAGAGGCAAGUGGAAUUGCGGGUGUAGCGGUGAAAUGCGUAGAUAUCCGCAGGAACAUCCGAGGCGAAAGCGGCUUGCUGGAUCGCAACUGACGCUGAGGGACGAAAGCUAGGGGAGCAAACAGGAUUAGAUACCCUGGUAGUCCUAGCCCUAAACCAUCAGGACUUGGGGUUUGCCCUGUACGGGGCAAGUCCCGUAGCUAACGCGUCAAGUCCUGCGCCUGGGGAGUACGGUCGCAAGGCUGAA